GCUGGGUGCAGUGGCAUGUGCCUGUAGUCCCAGGUACUUGGGAGGCUGAGGCUGGAGGAUCUCUUGAGCCCAGGAGUUCUGGGCUGUAGUGAGCUAUGCCGAUCAGGUGUCUGCAUUAAGUUCAGCAUCAAUAUGGUGACCUCCCGGGAGCGGGGGACCACCAGGUUGCCUAAGGAGGGGUGAACCAGCUCAGGUCGGAAAUGGAGCAGGUCAAAACUCCUGUGCUGAUCAGUAAUGGGAUUGUGCCUGUGAAUAGCCACUGCACUCCAGCCUGGGCAACAUAGCGAGACCCCCAUCUCA
rnacentral:SRP_RNA from 1 species